rnacentral:rRNA from 1 species
CAACCUUUGAUGGCGACCGGCGCACGGGUGAGUAACACGUAUCCAACCUACUCCUUACAACGGAGUAACUCGGCGAAAGUCGGACUAAUACCGUAUGAUAUCCUAUGCAGGCAUCUAAAUAGGAUUAAAGGUUUAGCGGUAAGGGAUGGGGAUGCGUCUGAUUAGGCAGUUGGCGGGGUAACGGCCCACCAAACCGACGAUCAGUAGGGGUUCUGAGAGGAAGGUCCCCCACAUUGGAACUGAGACACGGUCCAAACUCCUACGGGAGGCAGCAGCG